AUUGAACGCUGGCGGCAGGCCUAACACAUGCAAGUCGAGCGGUAGCACAGAGAGCUUGCUCUCGGGUGACGAGCGGCGGACGGGUGAGUAAUGUCUGGGAAACUGCCUGAUGGAGGGGGAUAACUACUGGAAACGGUAGCUAAUACCGCAUAACGUCGCAAGACCAAAGUGGGGGACCUUCGGGCCUCAUGCCAUCAGAUGUGCCCAGAUGGGAUUAGCUGGUAGGUGGGGUAACGGCUCACCUAGGCGACGAUCCCUAGCUGGUCUGAGAGGAUGACCAGCCACACUGGAACUGAGACACGGUCCAGACUCCUACGGGAGGCAGCAGUGGGGAAUAUUGCACAAUGGGCGCAAGCCUGAUGCAGCCAUGCCGCGUGUGUGAAGAAGGCCUUCGGGUUGUAAAGCACUUUCAGCGGGGAGGAAGGCGGUGAGGUUAAUAACCUCACCGAUUGACGUUACCCGCAGAAGAAGCACCGGCUAACUCCGUGCCAGCAGCCGCGGUAAUACGGAGGGUGCAAGCGUUAAUCGGAAUUACUGGGCGUAAAGCGCACGCAGGCGGUCUGUCAAGUCGGAUGUGAAAUCCCCGGGCUCAACCUGGGAACUGCAUUCGAAACUGGCAGGCUAGAGUCUUGUAGAGGGGGGUAGAAUUCCAGGUGUAGCGGUGAAAUGCGUAGAGAUCUGGAGGAAUACCGGUGGCGAAGGCGGCCCCCUGGACAAAGACUGACGCUCAGGUGCGAAAGCGUGGGGAGCAAACAGGAUUAGAUACCCUGGUAGUCCACGCUGUAAACGAUGUCGAUUUGGAGGUUGUGCCCUUGAGGCGUGGCUUCCGGAGCUAACGCGUUAAAUCGACCGCCUGGGGAGUACGGCCGCAAGGUUAAAACUCAAAUGAAUUGACGGGGGCCCGCACAAGCGGUGGAGCAUGUGGUUUAAUUCGAUGCAACGCGAAGAACCUUACCUGGUCUUGACAUCCACAGAACUUUCCAGAGAUGGAUUGGUGCCUUCGGGAACUGUGAGACAGGUGCUGCAUGGCUGUCGUCAGCUCGUGUUGUGAAAUGUUGGGUUAAGUCCCGCAACGAGCGCAACCCUUAUCCUUUGUUGCCAGCGGUUAGGCCGGGAACUCAAAGGAGACUGCCAGUGAUAAACUGGAGGAAGGUGGGGAUGACGUCAAGUCAUCAUGGCCCUUACGACCAGGGCUACACACGUGCUACAAUGGCAUAUACAAAGAGAAGCGACCUCGCGAGAGCAAGCGGACCUCAUAAAGUAUGUCGUAGUCCGGAUUGGAGUCUGCAACUCGACUCCAUGAAGUCGGAAUCGCUAGUAAUCGUAGAUCAGAAUGCUACGGUGAAUACGUUCCCGGGCCUUGUACACACCGCCCGUCACACCAUGGGAGUGGGUUGCAAAAGAAGUAGGUAGCUUAACCUUCGGGAGGGCGCUUACCACUUUGUGAUUCAUGACUGGGGUG
rnacentral:rRNA from 1 species